UACGUAGGGUGCAAGCGUUAAUCGGAAUUACUGGGCGUAAAGCGUGCGCAGGCGGUUUUGUAAGUCUGACGUGAAAUCCCCGGGCUCAACCUGGGAAUUGCGUUGGAGACUGCAAGGCUUGAAUCUGGCAGAGGGGGGUAGAAUUCCACGUGUAGCAGUGAAAUGCGUAGAGAUGUGGAGGAACACCGAUGGCGAAGGCAGCCCCCUGGGUCAAGAUUGACGCUCAUGCACGAAAGCGUGGGGAGCGAACAGG
rnacentral:rRNA from 1 species